UGAUGACAAACUUACCCAGCUCGCUUCGAUCUACCAUGAAGAGAACUGUUCCUAAUCCAACGCAAAAUUAUUAAAUUCUGAU
rnacentral:snoRNA from 1 species